UAUACUUUAGUAUAGAUGUAUAAAAGUUUUUGGAACUUUAGGAAAUAAUUUGUUUUAUUAAGUAUAU
rnacentral:tRNA from 1 species